rnacentral:rRNA from 1 species
GACGAACGCUGGCGGCGUGCUUAACACAUGCAAGUCGAACGGUGAUGCUCCAGCUUGCUGGAGUGGAUCAGUGGCGAACGGGUGAGUAACACGUGAGCAACCUGCCCCAGACUCUGGAAUAAGCGCUGGAAACGGCGUCUAAUACUGGAUACGAAACUGGCCCGCAUGGGCAUGGUUUGGAAAGUUUUUCGGUUUGGGAUGGGCUCGCGGCCUAUCAGCUUGUUGGUGAGGUAAUGGCUCACCAAGGCGACGACGGGUAGCCGGCCUGAGAGGGCGACCGGCCACACUGGGACUGAGACACGGCCCAGACUCCUACGGGAGGCAGCAGUGGGAAAUAUUGCACAAUGGGCGAAAGCCUGAUGCAGCGACGCCGCGUGAGGGAUGACGGCCUUCGGGUUGUAAACCUCUUUCAGCAGGGAAGAAGCGAAAGUGACGGUACCUGCAGAAGAAGCACCGGCUAACUACGUG